rnacentral:rRNA from 1 species
AUUGAACGCUGGCGGCAGGCCUAACACAUGCAAGUCGAGCGAGAGGCGGACGGGUGAGUGAUGUCUGGGAAACAGCCUGUGGGAGAGGGAGAAAUACUGUGAACGGGAUCUAAUACCCCAUACCAUCAGAUGUGCCCAGAUGGGAGUAGCGAGUAGGUGGGGGAAUGGCUCACCUAGGCGACGAUCCCUAGCUGGUGUGAGAGGAUGACCAGCCACACUGGAACUGAGACACGGUCCAGACUCCUACGGGAGGCAGCAGUGGGGAAUAUUGCACAAUGGGCGCAAGCCUGAUGCAGCCAUGCCGCGUGUGGGAAGAAGGCCUUCGGGUUGUAAAGCACGUUCAGCGGGGAGGCGUUACCCGCAGAAGAAGCACCGGCUAACUCCGUGCCAGCAGCCGCGGUAAUAC